rnacentral:misc_RNA from 1 species
UUCUGAAAUUGCUGAGUGGAUCUUCAAAUUUGUUUCACUAGUAUCAAACACUACAAGUAUUUGAAAACUUUAAUCAGACCCACAGGAAGAAGAAAAAGAAGAUGAUGAUUAUGAUAAACAAUUUUCAGAUUGACUCAGCUGUAAAAUAUCGUUCCAUCUUAUCUCACUUUGUUUCAAAACAAACUCACAAGAAUAGAGAGAGAGAGAGAGAG